UGCAAGUCGAACGGGACUUUAUUUGUAGCAAUACAAAUGAAGUUCAGUGGCGCAAGGGUGCGUAACACGUGGGCAACCUGCCCGGAAAUGUGGGAUAGCUCGCCGAAAGGCGAAUUAAUACCUCAUGUGGCUAGUGAAGACAUCUUCACAACGCUAAAGACGGCGUAAGCUGUCGUUUCCGGAUGGGCCCGCGGCCUAUCAGCUAGUUGGUGAGGUAACGGCUCACCAAGGCUAUGACGGGUAGCUGGUCUGAGAGGACGACCAGCCACACUGGAACUGAGACACGGUCCAGACACCUACGGGUGGCAGCAGUCGAGAAUUUUUCUCAAUGGGGGAAACCCUGAAGGAGCGACGCCGCGUGGAGGAUGAAGGUCUUCGGAUCGUAAACUCCUGUCAUUAGGGAACAAAGUUUCCGGUUAACUGCCGGCGAACCUGAUAGUACCUGAAGAGGAAGGGACGGCUAACUCUGUGCCAGCAGCCGCGGUAAUACAGAGGUCCCAAGCGUUGUUCGGAUUUAUUGGGCGUAAAGGGUGCGUAGGCGGUUGCCUAAGUCAGAUGUGAAAUCCCGGGGCUCAACCUCGGAACUGCAUUUGAUACUGGGUAACUUGAGUACUGGAGGGGAGACUGGAAUUUACGGUGUAGCAGUGAAAUGCGUAGAUAUCGUAAGGAAGACCAGUGGCGAAGGCGAGUCUCUGGACAGUUACUGACGCUGAGGCACGAAGGCCAGGGGAGCAAACGGGAUUAGAUACCCCGGUAGUCCUGGCAGUAAACGGUGCACGUUUGGUGUAGGAGGAUUCGACCCCUUCUGUGCCGGAGCUAACGCGUUAAACGUGCCGCCUGGGAAGUACGAUCGCAAGAUUAAAACUCAAAGAAAUUGACGGGGGCCCGCACAAGCGGUGGAGUAUGUGGCUUAAUUCGAUGCAACGCGA
rnacentral:rRNA from 1 species